AGCUGAUCAGCAUGCCGCGUGAGUGAUGAAGGCCUUAGGGUUGUAAAGCUCUUUUACCCGGGAUGAUCAUGACAGGACCGGGAGAAUAAGCUCCGGCUAACUCCGUGCCAGCAGCCGCGGUAAUACGGAGGGAGCUAGCGUUGUUCGUAAUUACUGGGCGUAAAGCGCACGUAGGCGGCUUUGUAAGUUAGAGGUGAAAGCCUGGAGCUCAACUCCGAAACUGCCUUUAAGACUGCAUCUCUUGAAUCCAGGAGAGGUGAGUGGAAUUCCGAGUGUAAAGGUGAAAUUCGUAUAUCUUCGGAAGAACACCAGUGGCGAAAGCGGCUCACUGGACUGGUAUUGACGCUGAGGUGCGAAAGCGUGGGGAGAAAACAGGAUUAGAUACCCUGGUAGUCCACGCCGUAUACAAUGAUUGCUAGCCCUCCGGGGACUUGAUCUUUGGGUGGCGCAGCUGACGCUC
rnacentral:rRNA from 1 species